UACGGAAGGCAGCAGUGGGGAAUAUUGCACAAUGGGCGCAAGCCUGAUGCAGCCAUGCCGCGUGUAUGAAGAAGGCCUUCGGGUUGUAAAGUACUUUCAGUCGUGAGGAAGGUGUUAAGGUUAAUAACCUUAGCAAUUGACGUUAGCGACAGAAGAAGCACCGGCUAACUCCGUGCCAGCAGCCGCGGUAAUACGGAGGGUGCGAGCGUUAAUCGGAAUUACUGGGCGUAAAGGGCACGCAGGCGGUUAAUUAAGUUGGAUGUGAAGUCCCCGGGCUUAACCUGGGAAUGGCAUUCAAGACUGGUUAGCUAGAGUCUUGUAGAGGGGGUAGAAUUCCAUGUGUAGCGGUGAAAUGCGUAGAGAUGUGGAGGAAUACCGGUGGCGAAGGCGGCCCCUGGGACAAAGACUGACGCUCAUGUGCGAAAGCGUGGGGAGCAAACAGGAUUUAGAUACC
rnacentral:rRNA from 1 species